rnacentral:rRNA from 1 species
UACAGAGGGUGCGAGCGUUAAUCGGAAUUACUGGGCGUAAAGCGCGCGUAGGCGGCUUUGCAAGUCGGGUGUGAAAUCCCCAGGCUUAACCUGGGAACUGCAUUCGAGACUGCAUUGCUAGAGUAUGGGAGAGGGAAGUGGAAUUUCCGGUGUAGCGGUGAAAUGCGUAGAUAUCGGAAGGAACAUCAGUGGCGAAAGCGGCUCACUGGGCCGGUCCUGACGCUGAGACGCGAAGGCGUGGGGAGCGAACGGG